rnacentral:rRNA from 1 species
GAUGAACGCUGGCGGCGUGCCUAAUACAUGCAAGUCGAGCGAACGGACGAGAAGCUUGCUCCUCUGAUGUUAGCGGCGGACGGGUGAGUAACACGUGGAUAACCUACCUAUAAGACUGGGAUAACUUCGGGAAACCGGAGCUAAUACCGGAUAAUAUUUUGACCCGCAUGGUUCAAAAGUGAAAGACGGUCUUGCUGUCACUUAUAGAUGGAUCCGCGCUGCAUUAGCUAGUUGGUAAGGUAACGGCUUACCAAGGCAACGAUGGAUAGCCGACCUGAGAGGGUGAUCGGCCACACUGGAACUGAGACACGGUCCAGACUCCUACGGGAGGCCGCAGUCGGGAAUCUUCCGCAAUGGACGAAAGCCUGACGGAGCACCGCCGCGUGAGUGAUGAAGGUCUUAGGAUCGGAAAGCUCUGUUAUUAGGGAAGAACAUAUGUGUAAGUAACUGUGCACAUAUUGACGGUACCUAAUCAGAAAGCCCCGGCUAACUCCGUG